rnacentral:lncRNA from 1 species
AAAUGAAUAUCCUUUCAUAUAUUACAGUGAGUUUUUUUAGUUUAUCUAAUUUAAGAUUUAUUUAAUUAAAAGUAAACUUUUUUGCUAGCCUAGAGAUAGUAAAUUUAUUGCAGCUAAGUUCAGAAGUAAUUUGGCCAUAAGAUUUUUGAGAAUGAAGAAAAACACAGGUGAUGUUGUCUUGAAGAGAGCAGAGAAUAGAUCUCAUAGUUAUUUAAAG